CCUACGGGUGGCUGCAGUAGGGAAUCUUCCGCAAUGGACGAAAGUCUGACGGAGCAACGCCGCGUGAGCGAAGAAGGUCUUCGGAUCGUAAAGCUCUGUUGUUAGGGAAGAACAAGUACGGGAGGAAAUGACCGUACCUUGACGGUACCUAACGAGGAAGCCACUGCUAACUACGUGCCAGCAGCCGCGGUAAUACGUAGGUGGCAAGCGUUGUCCGGAAUUAUUGGGCGUAAAGCGCGCGCAGGCGGUCUUUUAAGUCUGAUGUGAAAUCUUGCGGCUCAACCGCGAGCGGUCAUUGGAAACUGGGAGACUUGAGUGCAGAAGAGGAAAGCGGAAUUCCACGUGUAGCGGUGAAAUGCGUAGAGAUGUGGAGGAACACCAGUGGCGAAGGCAAUCCCCUGGACCUGUACUGACGCUCAUGCACGAAAGCGUGGGGAGCAAACAGGAUUAGAUACCCGAGUAGUC
rnacentral:rRNA from 1 species